CUUUAAGGAUCCUGAAGGAACGUUGAAGACGACGACGUUGAUAGGCCGGGUGUGUAAGCGCAGCGAUGCGUUGAGCUAACCGGUACUAAUGAACCGUGAGGCUUAACCUUACAACGCCGAAGGUGUUU
rnacentral:rRNA from 1 species